rnacentral:rRNA from 1 species
GGAAUUUUCCGCAAUGGGCGAAAGCCUGACGGAGCAACGCCGCGUGAGGGACGAAGGCCUCUGGGCUGUAAACCUCUUUUCUCAAGGAAGAAGAACUGACGGUACUUGAGGAAUAAGCCACGGCUAAUUCCGUGCCAGCAGCCGCGGUAAUACGGGAGUGGCAAGCGUUAUCCGGAAUUAUUGGGCGUAAAGCGUCCGCAGGCGGCCUCGUAAGUCUGUCGUUAAAGCGUGGAGCUUAACUCCAUUUCAGCGAUGGAAACUGUGAGGCUUGAGUGUGGUAGGGGCAGAGGGAAUUCCCGGUGUAGCGGUGAAAUGCGUAGAUAUCGGGAAGAACACCAGUGGCGAAGGCGCUCUGCUGGGCCAUAACUGACGCUCAUGGACGAAAGCCAGGGGAGCGAAAGGGAUUAGAUACCCCUGUAGUCCUGGCCGUAAACGAUGAACACUAGGUGUCGGGGGAAUCGACCCCCUCGGUGUCGUAGCCAACGCGUUAAGUGUUCCGCCUGGGGAGUACGCACGCAAGUGUGAAACUCAAAGGAAUUGACGG